rnacentral:sRNA from 1 species
CAAUAAACCCGACAAAAGCGGUAGCUCCCGAUUUAAGCACUGUUUUUUGUUUUUUAUCGUGUGCUUGCUUGUUUCACAGGUUUCAUCGGGACUAUAGCGAAUGGCGGGACUAGCG